ensembl:lncRNA
GCCAAAUUCAGACAUAAAAAGAAUGUCAAUAAAAGUAGUCAAAAAGAGUUUUAGUAUAUGAAAGAAUGUUUAAUAUCAAACAGUCAAUACAAGUUCCUCCGUGCCCAAAGACCCACUGCUAAAAUUGUCAAGUUCUACAUGCCCUACCACACAUCUUUAAAAAUAUUCACAUGUGCUUUUUCAGAUCUAGAUCAUAUGAACCUCUCCCCCAUGAUACGCCACCUUGUGGAGAACAUGACAGAAGAGCAUUGGAGAAUUGUCCGUGAGGCUCUAUGUGUGCCUAGGACCAAAGAAGAAGUUGGCCAUCUUUGUGCUAUCAUAGUGAAGAAAGUAGUCCAGACUGCUCAUUAUUACCUGCUCCCAGUCCUCAGUGAAAUUCUGGGUGUUCCUGUCGCAUACGUAUGUGGAAUGACAAGAUCAGGGCAACACACAUUUUGGGUAAGCACCUCGGAGGCCAAGAGACCUGAAGGGUCAUCUCUACGCCAAGGAUCUCAGGGGAUAAGAAAUGAAAUGCUCUUGGCAGC